rnacentral:rRNA from 1 species
CGCGGCCUAUCAGCUUGUUGGUGGGGUAAUGGCCCACCAAGGCGAAGACGGGUAGCCGAACUUAGCGGUUGAUCGGCCACACUGGGACUGAGACACUGCCCAGACUCCUACGGGAGGCUGCAGUCGAGAAUCUUCCGCAAUGGACGAAAGUCUGACGGAGCGACGCCGCGUGCAGGAUGAAGGCCUUCGGGUUGUAAACUGCUGUCAGAUGUUAUGAACAAGUACAGGUUAAUAUCCUGUGCCCUGACAAAAGCAUCAGAGGAAGCCACGGCUAACUUCGUGCCAGCAGCCGCGGUAAGACGAAGGUGGCAAGCGUUGUUCGGAAUCACUGGGCAUAAAGCGCGCGUAGGUGGCUUAGCAAGCGGGGAAUGAAAUCCCAUGGCUCACCCAUGGAACUGUUUCCCGAACUGCUUCGCUUGAGGACGGGAGGGGAGAGUGGAAUUCCUGGUGUAGCGGUGAAAUGCGUAGAUAUCAGGAGGAACGCCGGUGGCGAAAGCGACUCUCUGGCCCGUUCCUGACACUGAGGCGCGAAAGCUAGGGGAGCAAACAGGAUUAGAUACCCUGGUAGUCCUAGCCGUACACUAUGGGCACUGGGUUGAGGGGGAGUCAAUGCCUUCUCAGCCGUAGCUAAUGUGUUAAGUGCCCCGCCUGGGGAGUACGG